rnacentral:misc_RNA from 1 species
GAUCCACACCAUCACAAAAUAAUAUCUUCACAAUUAGCGCUGCAGAGACACAGAUCGGGAAGGUUUUGGCACAUCUUCUUGAGAUUACAAGCGUUGCUUUACUGUGAACUAGGGAUCGAGGAUUAAAAUCUCCAAACCCUAGACUGGUGUACGAAGUUGAUUGUUGGUGCCACAGGCCUACCCGCUAGUGCACGAUCGAUGAUUGUUGGUGCCGCAGGAGCGUGAAACUGAAGAGGAGGAGCGAUUGUCAGCUUAGGAUAAUCGGGCCCGGGUUGGGAGGACUGCCCUCGAACGGGGGGAGAAAAUCUCCCUCAUCCAUCCCCUGCCAGACUGCCAUCUCCACUACAUGCUUAUUUAUUCCGGAAUAAGGGAAAAGUUGAGGGAAAAU